rnacentral:rRNA from 1 species
UACGGAGGGUGCGAACGUUGCUCGGAAUUACUGGGCGUAAAGCGCGUGUAGGCGGGUGAUCAAGUCGGGUGUGAAAUCCCCAGGCUCAACCUGGGAACUGCAUUCGAAACUGGUCGCCUUGAGUGCUGGAGAGGGAAGCGGAAUUCCUGGUGUAGCGGUGAAAUGCGCAGAUAUCAGGAGGAACACCGGUGGCGAAGGCGGAUCUCUGGGCCUUACCUGACGCUGAGGCGCGAAAGCUAGGGGAGCGAACAGG